UGAAUAAUUAAUUAAAUUAAGUCGAUAGUCGAGGCGUAUAAAUACGCGAUGAAACAACAAAGACUUCAGAAAACUAUACAACAAACACCUUUAAUCAAGUUUGCUAUUAUACGUUGACGUUUCUUUCCGAUUCAGCUGAACCAUGAUGAAGAGUGUCUUGUUGUUUUUAAUGAUUGGAUCAUUAAUUGUUGGAACUAUGUGCUGUCAAGAAGAACCGCACAGAUGGUGCCAUCCGAUCGCUGGUUAUACGUGCUGUGACCCACUGAGGUGCACUCCAGGCUGGUUCUCGGAAGGAGUUUGCGUUAAUGUAAAAAUGCGGUAUACUGGUUAAUGAUGUUGUGUAAUUUGUAAUAUAUGCUCUCUAAAAAUUAAUCAGUGAAAAUCACUUCAAAUUAGUGAAUAUUCACUGGGAACCAGCUACAAGGAUACCAUUGAUUAAAUGAGUGGUAUACUUAUAGCUGCAGAAAUAGUGACUAUCCAAUGAUUCGCGAGAAUUUCACAAAUCAAUUUUAGAGAGUGUAGAAAGGAAAAUAAUAAACGAAUUCAAAUAAACAAACCUUCUGACACCUACCCUGUCAUUGGCAAAAAAUUAUUAUUUUCAAAACAUCGCCGUUAUUCGAAUGCAAACAAUUUAUUGGUCAUUUAUCAUGUUAAAAAAUUCAAAUAAUUAUUAUUCAAAAUUUUAUUAUUGAAAAAAAUUAUUAUUAAAAUUAUCUAUGUAUCUAUAGGUCAAUAAAAAUUAUUUUGGUUGAAAAA